UAUAUACUCCCUCCGUCCCAAAAUUCUUGUCUUAAAUUUAUCUAGAUACGGAUAAAUCUAAUACUGAAACAUGACUUGAUACAUCCGUAUUUAGACAAGAAUUUUGGGACGGAGGGAGUAUAAA
rfam:Triticum aestivum genome assembly, contig: Triticum_aestivum_CS42_TGACv1_scaffold_543846_6DS